rnacentral:misc_RNA from 1 species
AAGAGACGUUGCCCUUCGGGGUACACCUCCCACCCUUUGUUUAUUAUACCUUUGUUGCUUUGGCGGGCCCGUCCUCGGACCACCGGCUUCUGCUGGUCAGUGCCCGCCAGAGGACCUAAAACUCUGUUUGUUAAUAUUGUCUGAGUACUAUAUAAUAGUUA